UUAAUGUUAAGAUGAACCCUAAAAAGUUCUAAGAACACAAAGGUUUGGUCCUGGCCUUAUUAUCAAUUAUCUCUUAAUUUAUACAUGCAAGUCUCAGCACCCCCGUGAGGACGCCCUUUUUCCCUUUACCAGGUCAAGGAGCUGAUAUCAGGCACCACACCCAUCCCGCCCACAACAUCUAGUCCCACCACGCCCACAAGGGUAUUCAGCAGUGAUAAGCAUUGACUAUAAGCGCCAGCUUGAUUCAGUUAGAGAGAAGAGGGCCGGCUAACUAGGUGCCAGCCGCCGCGGCUACACCCCGGGGCCCAAAUUGAUAACCAUCGGCGUUAAGCGUGAUUAAAGCCUAACCUAAUUAGAGUUAAACCUUUGACCUGCUGUAAAAAGCAUUCACCAGGGAGAACCAAAAACGAAAGUUACUCUAAUAAUCCAUGCUGAAU
rnacentral:rRNA from 1 species